GCCUUCGUGGUGUAGUGGUCAGCACGCUCGACGCGUAACCGAGAGAUCCGUGGUUCGAUUCCCGGGGAAAACG
rfam:Stegodyphus mimosarum contig25296, whole genome shotgun sequence.